AUCCUUUUUAACCAGUUAUUUGAAAGAACUUAUAAAAAGGCUUUUUUUGGAGAGGUCUUAGCACUUUUUGGCAAUUUGUUUAGGUACAGUUGGAGAAUCUGUUCUGACUAAACAGGAUAGCUAUUGACUAUCCUGUACUCAAAUAGACAGUAGGGAGUGCUUUAGUUCUGAGAAUAACUGUGUUUUCUACUACCAGAAGCAAUGCCUUUUGAAUAUAAAACCCUUGGGGAGGCCGAGUCCUGUGUCACAUACUCUUUUGAGAGUCCACUCUCCAGCACAUGGGAGUUGUCAACAAACAGGUGUUUGAUAAAUAUUUGUUAAAAUACUGAAUAAGUGAACUAACCACCUUUUGGGAGAGGCUACUAAAUGUGUAGCUAUUUAAUGUACUUUGGUGGGCUUAAUGAGAUGAAGAGAGACUGAGAAGGAAACUUACACAGAAUUAUCAUGGGUUGGUUGAAUGAAUAUAGGUAUCCCCACAUCACUUUUGAAAUGAAAUGAAAUGUCCAUACCUCGUAAAGUCAACUGCUUUUAAAAUUUUCUUAGUGUUAUCAUUAUCUUGGAGAAUAGGAGAAACGGAGUUUGUGUUUUGGGAAAUCAAAUACUUUAUUACUAAAUUUGGUAAAUGUUUUACUAAACGGAAUUGAUUGUGUCUUGUUCUAAAAAUAUCAGCAGGGUGUUUGCAUUUUAUCAAAUGAGUAUGAAGUUGUUUUAUUGGUGGUAUCUCUAGCCCUACAUUCUGCUAUUCAUCAAUGGUGGUUAUGAAAUGAAAUUCAUAAUUAUUAGAGGCAACUCAAAGGAAUAACGUAUAGUAGUAGUUUAAAAUGGCUUGUUGGGUCAAGACAACUUUGAAGUUGUGAAGAAACUUUUACCCAUGGUACAUUGUUCAGAAUUGUAGCAGCUUCAUUUAUGAUUGUUGAGUUCACUUGGAUAGAGUGCUGUGCCCAUGAUAGAAACUGUAGUUUUUCCCAGGUGUCUGUUUUCUCAUUCUUCUGGUAUGAUAGAAUCCUCCAUUUUUGACCAGGAACAUGACUUCCAAGAACAGAGGCAUCUUUGUAUAUUUCAUGGCCAUGGAACUGAGUUCUGGCUAUUGCAGAGAAGCAUAAGUUUCAUGUGGCAGCUUAGUUUCAUGUGGAGGCUUCCAUAAGAGACAGCCUUUGUCUCUCUUCUUCAAGAUCCUUUCUCAAUCUUGCUUUCUGGAACGCACAUGCCAUAGUCUUAAUCGUGGGCUGAUAGAGGGGUGAGCUGAGAGGAGCCUGGGUCCCAAGGACUUCCUGGAGAAAAAUUGCUAUAGUGGAAGAGGCCGAUCUUAUGGGGAAAGACAAAUAUUCCUGACUUACCUAAUUCAUAGUUAUUUGGGAUCAUAUUUUCUAUCCCUUGUGGGUGAACCUCACCCCAUCUAUGUAGAGAUAGACGGGCUGGGUUUUAUCAGAUUGGAUUCCUAGGAUAUAAGGUCACAAUGAGGCUGCAUGAGACCAAGUUUCUCACCAUAUUCAGAGCUGUUUUAAAGUCCAUGCCUUACGAUUGCUGGUGAGUCAUGUAGCGUUCACUAAGCUUGGCAUGUUGAUACUUCCCUUGUUCUGGAUUUGGUCUGACUAUGUCAGGACUCAUAUAUGGCUUUCACAAAUUGCCUGCAAUGACUAGUCUGCAUCAUCUUCCUGGGUAUUGUAAAGGUAGAGAGUUGGGUUAGGGAGAGGUAACUGAAUAUAUAAGCAACAGGUCACAGUGCUCUUUUUAGGCAUUAUUAUUUUUAUUCUGGCCAUGAACAUCUUUUCCCUGAGAAAAUGUUUCCAUGAGUCUCACUAUUUGUUGAUAUCUUAAAAGAUAACAGUUGGUUGCCUGAAUAUUGUAUAUUGUAGCCAUUUUAUCAAAAUUAAAGCAGAGGCCAAAACAUACUAGGCUUUUCUUCUGUAUUUGAUAUAGCCAAAAUUUCUAAGACUUAAAAAUUAAUUAGUAGCACACACUCUCUUAAUCUUCUUGUGAAGCUUAAAAUCACUAACUAUUAGUCACCACAGUGUUUGGAAGCAAAACAGCUCUUUUAGCAAUGGCAUCUCUAUUAUGUGUUCACAUGUUGUCUCAAUGCCCAUUCAUUCUCUGUGUCUGUGAGUUGUAGUGUUUUUACAUUUUCCCUUAAAAUGGAUGUGUGUGUUUGGUAUGCGGGUGUUAGGGAAUGAGAAGAGGAGGGGCAUUCUUCAUGAAGUCAUCACUUGGAAGGCCAAUAUGUGCAAGUCACCGUGCUAAAUAUUGUUGAUGUAACAUUGGACCAGUGGGAAAAUACAGAGAGAGUAUCAAUGAGGGAAAAUGGAUGUGUGGACAGAAAAACAUAAGUGGCUUGACGUAGACUCUUCCUUCUCAUUAUCUGGAAUUCAUGUCUAAUCUCUUAGCCACCAGGCUGAGGGCACAUCAUAGACAUGGUGGAAAGGUGAACUGGAGGAGUUGAGUUUCGGGGAUUUGAAGGUGCCACAUUGAGUUUUUAGAGGUUCUAUAUCAUUUUAGAACUAAAUGCUUCUGUGUAUGUUUUGGUAAUUUUUUUCUAAGCCUACAUUGUCUAGUCUGCAUAGAGUAAUAUCAGCCUUCAGCAACUUUUAUCCAGUAUUGUUGCAAGAAUAUAAGGCAGAUGAAAUUGUAAAAGUAUUAUACCUUUUUAUAUUUCAGAAUGAAAACUAUUUUUAAAAAUUAUUCUAUUGGGGCACAGGCAUGUGAGCCGGUUGGAGUUGCCGUGGUAGGAACAAUUGGGCCAAGUAGGGGACAACAUGUUGCUUUUCCAGGAGCAGGUAAACAUCUAAAGGAACUGGUUUAAAUCCUAAUGCCAAAGUAUGACAAGAAAUUGCUCCUGGAAAUACCAAUGCCACCCUAGUAACACAUGGAACUAAAAGCUCUUGGCAUAAAACAGCAGCUAUAUCAGGUGCUCAUCCUGAGGAUAAUGUGAGCUCUCAGAAGGUAUUUGUAAAGACUAUGAAGUGAUGUAUUCUUCGUCUUGUGAAACCCCAAGAAAUACUAUAAGCAUUGAAGAAUCAACUGAAGGGAUGAUUUUAGGACCAGAAGAUCUGAGUUACCAAAUAUAUGAUGAUUCUGGAGAAAGCAUUUCAGUAGUUUCUACAGAAGACCUAAAAGAAUGUCUGAAGAAACAAUUAGAAUUCUGUUUUUCAUGAGAAAAUUUGUCAAAGGAUCUUUACUUGAUAUCUUAAAUGGAUAGUGAUCAGUUCAUCUCAGUUUGGACAGUUGCCAACAUGGAAGAAAUAAAAAAGUUGACUGUAGACCCUGAUCUAAUUCUUUUUUAAGUGUUAAGAUUUUCUUCCAUGGUGCAAGUUGAUGAGAAGUGUAAGAAAGUGAGACCAAGUCAUAGGCAUUGUAUUAUAAUUCUUAAAGAGAUUCCUGAAACAACACCAGUAGAGGAAGUGAAAGCUUCAUUCAAAAGAGAAAACUGCCCCAAAGUGAUAAACUGUGAGUCUGCACACAGUAGCAACUGGUAUAUCACUUUCUAGUCAGACAAAUAUGCACAACAGGCUUUUAAGUGCUUAAGAAGUUAAAACAUUUCAGGGCAAGCCAGUUGUGCAAGGAUAAAAGCCAUCAGUACAUUUUGUUGUUGUUGUUAGGAAUGGUUAUCGAUUAAUGGAUUCCAGUAUCUAUAGUCAGUCCAUUCAAACUCAAGCACGGUAUACUUCCCCAGUCUUUACGCAGCUCUAUGUAACCCUCGCCAACAGUACUCGGUCUAUGGUAUUGUGCUUCAGUCUUGGUCUCCAAGUCCUACAGCUUACUUUGAGACACCACUGGCUCCCUUUUCGCAGUGGUAGUUUUGUGAAUGUCUUUAAUUCACCAGGAUUGUAUAAAACAAAUGCUAUGAAUAUGGGUCGACCAUUCAAAAAAAAAAAAGAAAAAUGUGUGAAGCCUUAUUUUAGGUCAUCCAAUGGUUCAGAACACUCAGCAGAGGGCUCUGUAUCAUUGUGGGGGAUGGACAGUUGAACAGAUCUAGCUCAAGAAACUUUCCAACUGCAUGGUGUAACCGUAUAGUAACUGGUUAUCAGGAGCAAAUUUACCUUCAAAAGGAGACUUCCAUUUUGCAGAUGGAACAGAAUGGGGAAUAUGCUAGGGAAGGAGAACUCUUUUCAGAGGCCAAAGACGAAGAGAAUGUGAUGAUUUCAAGACCUCAUCCUUCAACAGCUGAAUCAAAGGUUCCAACUCCAAAGUUUGACUUACUAGCCUCAAAUUUUCCACCUUUACCUGGAAGUUAAUCAAGAAUGCCAGGUGAACUCAUUUUGGAGAAUAGGAUAUCUGAUAUUAAAGAUGUCUGCAAAGAAAAGGGUAAUGGAAAGUUGAGAGUUAGUUGCCCAGUGCCUGCAGAUGAGCAGACAGAAUGCACUUCUGGCCAGUAACUCAGUAUGAGUACCAGUUCUCCAUGUGCAGCUGAUCUUACUGCCUUAAGCACAUCUCAGCAAGAGAAGGAUCUACUAGAGCAUUCCUCUGUUCAGAAGGAUGGUCUCAACCAGAUGAAUAGACCAGUUUCUCCUCCAACUACUACAAAGCCAUCAAGGGCAAGUACUGCUUCACCAUGUAAUAGUAACAUAAAUGCUGCUACAGCUGUGGUUCUACAGGAACCCCGGAAGUUAAGUUAUGCUGAAGUGUAUCAGAAGCCGCCUAAAGAGCCAUCUUCAGUUCUUGUGUAGCAGCUUUGGGAACUUCACUCCAAUGUAUUGUCUCCCACCAAAAAUGAAGAUAAUGGAGCUCCUGAGAAGUCCAUUGAGAAACCAUGUGAGAAGCCAGCAGUAAGGGCUAGUAAUGUUUAUUCUGGCUUCUGAGGCAAUACCAUUCCCAGGGGAGAACAGCUAGAAAAAUCACAGAGCAGAGACGCCAGUUUAGCCAUAGGGCUAUACCUCAGGGAGUGACUCGAGCUAAUGACAUAGAGCAGUAUGUGCCACCCAUAUCGCCAAAGUAAAAAACAAUCAAAACAACAAAACUAUUCAAAAACUUCACUUUCUUUCUGUUAAACUCGAGCUGUGACUAUAUUGAAUUGUUUUGGAGGGUAGGGGGUAGCCAGGAAGGUAACAGGAGAAAGCACAUCCUUAAAUCAUUGUGGAUUUUGGAGUUGUGAGGGAUAGGAUCCCAAAAUUCACCUCUGAUGUGAUUUUUAAAUGCUUGAGGAUUCCUAUCUGUCUAUCUACGUAUAUAUACAUACACACACAUAUAAAAAGUAAAAGGUUUCUUUUUUGUUUUGUUUUGUUUUAAUUUGCAGAGAUUUGCUGCCAGGUUAGCUUGGCUAAAAAAAAAAAAAAAAAAGGACAUUAUAUGUCCUUCAGUAUAGGAGAUGAGGGAGUGAGAGGAAAUAUUUUUUGAAGAAGCAUUUCUGUAAAAUUAGAAAUUACUUUUUAAAAUCUAUUUACAGUUUGGCUUGGAGAAUGCCAUCUCUGACUAUAUGGCCUUGUAUUGCAAAGCAGAUCAGUAGCUGGGGUGCCUAUUGUGGGUGUGAGUAUGUACAAGAGCGAUUGAAGCCAAAUCUGUUGUCAUGUGGUAAAUGAUUUGAAAACUGAAUGUAACACUUGAGUGGAUUCUUUUCUAGUUGGAAAUUUAGUCUUUCUGACCUUACUAAUAUUUCAUUCAACAAGUUGUGAAACUCUGAUUGUACUUGGAGAUGUGACUACCAAUUGGUUUGAUAUUCAAGGAAGAAUGGGGGUUAUUCGAAAAACUGAAAAUUUCAUCUUGGACUUCAGUGCAUAGGUCAAAUGGAAUUCAGAGGUUUAAACUUCCCUUUGAUUUUCCCCACCCUAAAAUGGGAAACAAAAUUUUUUUUCUCACUCCAUUUUUCACUCUCUGUUCUUUACCACUCCAAAAGCAAAAUAACCAACUACCUACUGAAUUAUGUGUUUGUAAUUGCUUUGACCAGUCUAGUCAAAUCUUAUAAAUUGUGCUAAAUUUCAGAAGUGAACGUUGAUGUAUUUACUCUUCCGUUCACAUAUUUAGAAUUUUAGGUCCUGGGAUGGUGGGGCAGACUGACCCUACAGUAAUUUAUUUGUUGUUAGUGUUAAAGGUGAAACAUUAUAAUGGACUCUUAAGUGUUAAGCAGUGUAGAAGUAAAAUAUAUUUUUUUAAAGGCUUACUUUUUGAGGGGACUUAUUUCUGUUUACAAUGUAUUUACCACGUUUCUUCCCUUUUCCCCCGCAUUCAAAAAAUACAGUUUGGAAUUGACUGAAACAGAAUCAGCAAGUCAUGGGAUAUUUUAGUAAAGAUAAGAAAGAUGGUUGAUGAAAAUUAAUGCAUAAUUUUUCAGUUAAUAAAGUUGUGGCUUUUACAUACUAAAUAGACAAGUCUACAUGCUGUCAUUUAGAAAAUGGCUAAAAUAUUAAAAACUGUAUUGUGUUCAUCUGUUUUAAGUCAGACCAUAUUUAGAGUUCUUUGUAAGGUGGGUUUUAUUUUUCUUUUAAGGGUUAGUUUGUAAUAGUAAGAACUGUCCCAUAUGUUAGUGAAUUACAUAUGUAUAAAUUGAAACUGUAAAUUGUGAACCCUCAAAAGCACCAUGGUGACAUAGAGUAAAUGUCUUAGUAAUAUAUUAAAGUGAAUGUAAGUGGUGGUUAAAAUUACAUUACUGUGAAAUUCAUCUUCCAGCUCUAAGCUUUGGAGAUACAUAUUAGUGGUUAACUGGUAAGAGCUUUGAAAACAUUUCACAUAUCUGUACAAGCCACAAUUACUAUUUCAUUGACUUAUUAUUAGCUUGGCAGUUGCUUUUGAUUUGAUUUUUUUAUGUCAUGGUAUAUAUAUUUACUCACUUUGAAACUAUUCAUUUCUAUACACUAUUUAAAAAAAUUACCUACUAGGUGAAACAUGCAAUAAAACUAUCUGUGCUGAAAUUUGGGGGAAGUUUAGGUCCUUUAAAAAAAAGUAUUAAUUAUUGACUACAUCUAUGAUAAAAGUGCUUAUUUUGGUUUACUAAGAUAAUGCAGUUGGUGGAAAUGAUAAACAUUUUAAGUGUUAACAUCCUUUGAAUGCAUUGGAUUUCAGAGAAUAAACAUUUUGUAAAAAUUAAAAAAAUUAUUCUGUUGGCCUCCCUUUUAGAUGGGCAAAUUCAUUGGUGCUAGCCAUUCAAAAUUGUGUGAAGGGCAGUAUCUGACAUAAUUAUAAUAUUUAGGGAAAGUAUUUGUUGGGUGACCUCACAAUAAGUUCAGGUUUUUCUUUUUUUAGCUCCGAGGGCUUUUAAUAGAAUUGCUUUGGUCUAGGAAUUCAUGAUAGACUAAAUGAAAUCCUUCAGUCUGCUGGAUUUAGUGAAACCAUAAAUUAGCCUCAUGGUGAAUGCAUCUUUCUUUUUCCUGUUUCAUUUGAUACAAUUCACUGAAAUGAUGACUACCUAUAAGUGGUUAGAAUUUUAUGUGUGGAAAACUUGAAGAGAAAAACUUUUCAAAGUGAAGUGUUUGUUUCUUUCAUCAUGGUGUCACCCUCUUUUGAUCUUUUUCAUUGUGCUUAUGCUUAAAAAUAGAUUUCAGUAUAUGUUCCCUAAUGGUAAGGGUUUAUAUGCAAAAUAGGUUUUCUGCCAAUUUUACUGUCACAUAUAGGGUGAAACUGGGGGUGACCCAGUUUUCCUCAUUGGGCUUGAGGGAGGGGUGGGGACAGUUGGACCUGUCUACAGACCUCCCUCUCUACUCUUUAACUAAAAAAGUGGCACAAAGUGGUAGGAAGGAAACCUAAGCAGAUGUCUCAUUGGCAGGCCAAUGUGGAGUACUGAGAGGCAGUGUUCGUAGCAGCACAGCAGCUGUGGGGACCUCUGUCAUGGGGAGCAGGGCCCAGCAGUCAGGUUGGCUUUGGUGACAGGUUCCUGGCAUGAGCAAAUUCUUGAGUAACUGUAGUUCUAGCUAGAUUUCUAAAGACAAGACCUGCAUACACAGGAGAGCUGGGAAGCACUGUAUUUCACCCAAGCGGCCUGUGGUUGUAGACUUGAGGAAAUAUGAGGAGCCAGGGUAACAGCAAAUGGUACUUAUCUUUGGGUGCCAGAGUAUUUGGCCAGAGGUACACACAUUCUUCCCACCUGACGUUAGGGCUGGUCGGGAAGUUGUGGGCAGACCCCAGGGUAAGGUCAAGUAGCUCUAGCAGGAACGGGGCAGAGCCUGGCCUUUUAGUCAGGGGCAGGGAGCACUUCCCCAGUUGGGUCCUGUCUUGAAUCACGUCAGUGUUUGUAUCAGGGAAGGCAACCUUUCUGACUUCCUCUGAUCUGGAGAGGCCGUUUUGAUGCUGAGAAGAUAAUUGAAGCUUCUUAUAUCAAAUUGAGCCAUUUCUAAAUAUUGAGACACAUAGUUGCAUGGAGCUGCUGAUGUGCAGGGUACACAUUCAGAUUUGGGGAGAAUCUAAUAUAAUCUAAUGCAAUGUAAGCCGCGGUUCUAUAAAAUUUUGCAGUUUUUUUUUUUUUUGGACGUUUGCAGCUUUUGGGAUAUGAAUUUUGUGUUUUUUGGUUGGGUUGUGUUAUUUUGAGAACAGACAUGAAACCCAGUCACAUUUUUAGGAUAUUGUAUGUAUGCCAAAGGAAAUGUAUGUUUUUUUCCCCUGAAAUUUUUAUUUCUUAUGUAAAUAGCAUUAAAAUCAGGAAAAAAAAGAUGAAGAAAUCAAUUAUAAACCAAAACCCAUACUUUUUUUUUUUUUUUUUUAAACAAUUGUGCCUUCUAUUUUAGACCUUGGGCAUAGGCUUACUUGAGACUGUAAUUAUAAAUGUACUAUCAAUAUAACUUUAUAUAUUUUUUUACUUUAAAUUUUAUUCACUUACAGCCAAUAGUUGCAUGUUAACUUUGUUGAGUGAUGAACUCAGAUCUGCCAAAUUGAACUUUGAUUUUGAAUGGUGAAUUUUAGGGUAAAAAUGACUUUGUGUUUAGGCUCCAUUCUUUUGGCAAGUGUUGCAGUGGAGGUAACCGGUUGUUGGACGCCAUCGGCAGAAGGCUCAGUACCCUGGACAGGUCCUGGAAGUUGCUGUAGGGUGAGGGGAGCACUCCUGUGGUGUGGUUGGGACUUUGUUCUUGGUUAUAAGGCCUCUGAACUUGAUUUUCUGGUUCUGUGGUAAAUUCCGUGAGAUGUCUAAAACCUUUAGUAAAUUUCCGUUUUUCUUAAAACUAGAUUGAGUAGAUUAAGUUGUUUGCAACUAAGCAUCUUGUGAAACAUUGGCAUAUUGGUUCUUGAAAGUAAUCUGUUUUAUCAUUUGGAGACAGUCAUUAAGAACCUGGAGUCUAAGGGCAAACUGCCUGUAUUCAAUAUGCUGGCUGUGUUAAUUUGGAGAAGAUACUUCACUUUUCUCACUUAGCUUCUUCAGAAAACACAACUAUUAUUAUAGUGAUGAUAAUUAAAUAAAACAGUACCUGGUAGCUAAUAAGUGUUUCCCCAGUGUUACCAUCUUUAUUAUCAUGCUCAUCAUGACAGUAGGUAUUUAUUGAACACCUUUUCUUUAUUAGAGUUCAACAGAAAUGGGUAAAAGUUACAAAUCAGAUAUUGUAGCAAAACUUAGUGUAUAACAAAGCCUAAUUGUAUUGUGCAUACUCUUAAUGACAGCUCCAUCUCUGCUUAUUCUCUGGUUUCCCUUAAGACACACAGAGAAGCAGGGAAGGUAUUUAUAGCCGUCUAAGAUUGGAUUUAUUGAAUGAACGACAGUAAGUGCUGAGAAUAACUGAUAAAAAGGAUUUGAUUGUGAAUCAAGAAUAAAAGGCUUGUGGUAAGAUUUAGAAUUGUGUGUUUAGUAAGAGAAGAGCUUAAAGCAUUGUAAGGCAUUCCAUUUGUUGUUUUAACAUUGUCAGCAUGUAUUAUUAAAGUGGGUGGUUAUAGAAUAAUUAUAAUCCAUAUCAUGAUGAUGAUGAUGUUUUUAGAGAAGAUUGAAAAUCUACAGUUUUUUUCCAAACAAAGUAAGGAAAACAUGUCAUUUACUGGGGCUUCAAAUAGUUUGCUUGACCUCAUGAGAGUACUAGUGAGAUUAUUUAAAGGAAAGACAUGUUCAGUAAGGUACUUUUAUGCAAAUUUUUGCAUUUCCUUGUUGAAUUCUUAAAAGUAUCAGCUUAGUAAUUGGGGGUUGGGAUGGGAGUAAGAAACAGAAGACAGGGAAAAAUAUGAGAUUAUUAAUACAAUUAUUUUAAUAUAACUGAGAAUUUAUUUGGGAAGAGAGUGGUAAAGAUGGUAAUUAUACCUACAAUCUUUAUAAAUUAUAAGAAUUAUAAAGUGAAAAUGGCCAAUCAUUUUUACUGGUUUUAUAAGAGGUUUCUGUGACCUAUUAAAUUAAGAAAGUUUGAGGGGCAGGACAUAUAUUUUUGUGCAGAAAAAGAAUAAGGAAAUAUUUAAAUUGUUUUAAAAAGUAUUCUAAACUAUUUUACUCUGUGAAAAGUUUCUAAAGCAAUUGUGCUUAUUAGACAUAGACUGGUAGCAUUAUGGUCACAGAAUUAAAUUUAGCCUCUAGAUGUUCAUUCACUAUGAUUGCAUAGAAUUAGUAGAAUGUCUUAGGUAUUCUCUCAGGAUUUCAUAAAAUGAAGAAUUCUCUGAUAAGAAAGAUUCAUUCAUGGCAUUUUCUGUGUAAGCAAAACCAUAAAAUAUCUGAAAUUUAGUGGAAAAAACUGGGCACCAUGGAGUAAAAUUAGAUUGCUUCAUAAAACCCAACAUAUAUAACUAACCUUAUACAGCCACAGACUUGGUUUUCUGUGGGAGUUUUUAGAGCUUGCUUUUCGAGAAGGAGACUCAGAGUUGAACUCAGGAGAGAUUGGCCCAGUCCUGGAUUUUGAAGAAUUAAUUAGCUACCUGGGAAUAUUGUGGGAAUAAUUAAUCAUCAACCCUCAGUGUGGCUGGUUAUGUAAGGAUCCCCAGUGCCUUAGUGUGCUUCAGACUGCCUUAGCAAAAUACCAUGGAAUGGAUAACUUAAAACAACAGAAAUUUAUUUUCAUACAAGUUCUGGGGGCUGGAAGUUUGAGAUCAGGGUACCACCAUGGUCAGGUUCUGGUGAGGGCCCUCUUCCUGGCUUGCAGGCGGCCACCUACUUGCUGUGUCCUAACUUAACCUGUCUCAGUGAGUGCAAAAGGAUCUCUUCUCUCUCUCUCAAGAGACAGAGAUUUGCUGUGUUGCUCAGGCUGGAGUGCAGUGGCUACUCACAGGUCAUAGGCAUGCUACCAUUACUGAUCAGUAGGGGAGUUUUUACCUGCUUCGUCUCUGACCUAGGCAGAUCCACACCUCCUUAGACAACCUAGUGGUCCCCUGCUAUCAGAAAGUCACACCAUACUAUGCCAAACUUAGUAUGGACACCUGAUCUGCAUAGUAUACUAUAUCCCGGAACUCCUGGAUUCAAGUAGUCCUCCCUCCUCAGCUUCCCUGGUAGCUGGGACUACAAGAAUGAGCCAUUGUGUCUGACUCUUUAUCUUCUUUUAAUGCCACUAAUUCCAUCUUGAAGGCCCUGCCCUCAUGACCUCAUCUAACCUCAAUUACUUCCAAAAUCCUCGUCUACCAUUACACUGGGGGUUAGGGGUUCAACAUAUAAAUUUUGGGGGGGACAUAAACAUUUAGUUUAUGGUGCCUAUUAAUCCUUCAGGGUGAUUAGAGGAUCACUAGACCAGGUGACCUGUGAGCUGACUCUUAUUUCAUUCUCUUGUUGGAAUGUUGUAAUUUUCUUAUUUUUUGUACUUAAUUACUGGGUUAUUUUGUCAUCUUUUAUUUCAGAUUUAAGCAUUUUUUGUCAGAUUAUAAUCUGUAAAUUUGUUCAAGAUGGACUCAACAAAAAGUAGUUUAUAUGUUCUUAGAGAUUAUAUAUUUUGUAUUGGGGGUACAUUUUUCUCUGUUACUGACAUCAGGGUAUAUUUAAAUAUAUUACAAUUAAAAUAGAUAUCUAUGUUAAAAUUGCGUGGAUUAAAUAUUAUGUCAUAUAUUUAAUUUGUUUUUAAAUUUUUGUUUAUUUUAAGCCGCUGUUCACUCUAUUCAAAUCAUUUUUUUUCUUUGCAAAACUAGCUAGAACUGAUGAGGAAUCAAAGAAGGCCUUAUAUAUUAAAUUCUUAAGUAGAGUCUUAAAAUUUAAAGUAAGGAUCUAUAAUAGAGACACAGGCCGUGGGCCUUGUUCCAGCAAACAAAGCCACAAAUAGAGUCUUGCAAAUUAAGGAAGACGGCAAAUGUCUUAAAA